rnacentral:rRNA from 1 species
AUUGACCGCUGGCGGCAGGCCUAACACAUGCAAGUCGAGAGGCGCGCCGGACGGGUGAGUAAUGCCUAGGAAUCUGCCUGGUUGUGGGGGCUAACGUCCGGAAACGGGCGCUAAUACCGCAUCCUAUCAGAUGAGCCUAGGGCGGAUUAGCUAGUUGGUGGGGAAAAGGCCGACCAAGGCGACGACCCGUAACUGGUCGGAGAGGUUGAUCAGUCACACUGGAACUGAGACACGGUCCAGACUCCUACGGGAGGCAGCAGUGGGGAAUAUUGGACAAUGGGCGAAAGCCUGAUGCAGCCAUGCCGCGUGUGUGAAGAAGGUCUUCGGAUUGUAAAGCACUUUAAGUUGGGAGGCGUUACCAACAGAAUAAGCACCGGCUAACUUCGUGCCAGCAGCCGCGGUAAUAC